rnacentral:rRNA from 1 species
GAACGAGAAAGUGGAGCAAUCCAUGAGUAAAGUGGCGCACGGGUGAGUAACACGUGACUAACCUACCUUUGAGUGGGGGAUAACCUAGGGAAACCUGGGCUAAUACCGCAUAAUACUUACGAGUCAAAGCAGCAAUGCGCUCGAAGAGGGGGUCGCGGUCGAUUAGUUAGUUGGCAGGGUAAUGGCCUACCAAGACUGUGAUCGAUAUCCGGCCUGAGAGGGCGCACGGACACACUGGAACUGAAACACGGUCCAGACUCCUACGGGAGGCAGCAGUGGGGAAUUUUGCGCAAUGGGGGAAACCCUGACGCAGCAACGCCGCGUGGAGGAUGAAGACCCUUGGGACGUAAACUCCUUUCGAUCGGGACGAUAAUGACGGUACCGGAAGAAGAAGCCCCGGCUAACUUCGUGC